GUGGAAUUUGCCUUCAAAGAAGCCAUGAAACAAGCCUCUUUGUUCAUCAAAGUCUAUGUCCUCCUGGAUGCUCUGUACAAGCUUUACAGGAUCCCUAAACAGGCCGCUGGUUUGAAGGCAGCUUUCAGUACCACCAACAUCUCCAAGAUCUGGCCUGUCCGAGUUGGAGGAACGCGCUGGGUUAGCCAUACCCACACAGCACUGCAAAACAUGUUGCGUGGUUACCGUGCAAUUGUUCUUCAUCUCAGUCAAGUUGCCACCACCAGGACAGCUAGUGGUAUGCAAGCAAAGGCAAAAGGUCUCCUGAAAACGCUGCGCUCCAAAGAUGCCAUGACUUUUGCCCACUUCCUAAGUGACAUUCUGGCCGUUCUCUCCAAACUGUCGAAGACGCUGCAGCAGAGAGAAGUUUGUACCUAUCAUGUACAUGAAGCACUGAAGGCCACAAUGACCAGCAUCAACAAAUUCAAGGACCGGGCAGGACCUGAGCAGCGGAAACUCCAGCAGGGAGACUGUAACUCCUUUGAAGGUCAGACCCUAACAGGGGUAGACCACUCUUCAGGCCAGAUUGAGAAGGUCGUUGAGGCAUUGGUUGGUUCACUAGCCCGGAGAUUCAGUGACAUGGGAGGUGAAGUCCUCAAAGCUACAAAAAUAGCGGACAUGCAGUCAUGGCCUCAGGAGCAUGAAGAUGAUUUUGGGGAUGACUUCAUUGGAGUGAUU